AAAAAAAAAAAAAAAAAAAAAAAUAAUAAUAAAAAAGUGGAGUCCUUCAAACUUGUGUGAAGUUUUUAUUCAAUGUCCCAAUUCUUGAUCCGAUCAUCAAAAAUGGAACUAUUCUACCCAUAAAAAUCCUCGAAAUUAAAUCGUUUUAAGUUCUUUCUCGAUCUUCGCUCCUUCACGGUUAUAAUCCUCUGCGUUUGCUCCCCAUGGCCGCGCCGUUUUUCUCCACUCCGUUUCAACCUUACGUUUAUCAG
rnacentral:misc_RNA from 1 species